UCAACGGUCCAGAUUGUCUCGGUGAAAUCUCAACGAUUGAGAUCGCUCCCACCUCCCACCUCCCUCGAUUGCGCGCUCCUCUUCGCCCCCUCUCUAUCGCUCUCACGCGCCGCCGCCCCUCCCCAACCCCGACUCACGCGGCGCCACCGCCCUCGACUGUCGCUGCUCCGCCGUCUUCGCAUCCGUCGUCACCGCCACCGAUCCCCGCGCCACCGCUGUAGCCGCCGCCCUCGACUGCCGCCGCUCCGCCGUCAUCGCAUCCGUCGUCCCACCGCCACCGAUUCACGUCGCCGCCGACGCCUUCCUCGCCUGGUCGCUGCCGAGACCUUCCUCACCCCCGCGAUUCCCAACCCUAACCGCCGUCACUGCCACCGCUAGCCCCCGUCGACCGUCGCACCGUGCCGCGCCGCACCGUCUCGCCCUUCCACCAAGCCCCCGGACUCCAACGUCGCCGCUCCACGCCGCCACUCCAGCCCCGAUCCACGCCGCCGCAGCCGCAUCACCGUUUGUUUCCGCCAUGGGGGCGUGAUUCCGCGCGACGGCUGGAGGAGGCGAGGUCGGGCCUGCCCUCCAUCGAUGGCGGACUCCGCGUGACGGCUGGAGGAGGCGAGGUCGGGCCUGCCCUCCAUCGACGCUCCACGCCGCCGCAGCCCGCAGCCCCGUCGGCGCCGUUGCUGCGUCGCUUCAUCGCCGUCCCGACCUCGAAGGAGAACCGGCUUCGAGUCCCUCGCGCCGCCACUGAUCCAGGGCUCCUCAACCCUGCAAGCCGUCGAUCCCGCCUGUGAACAAGGUAAGAGUGCUUCUCGAUCCCGUUCCUGUACAUGAGGAGGCGACGCACAGCGCGUGGGAGGGCAGGCGGAGGCGAGGAGAGGCAUGGCUGCCGUCUGCCGGGCUCCCGGGCGCAGCCUCACAGAGCUGCGGCAUCCACGCCGGACGGCGCCGCGGCGUGGCGGGGCGCAGCCGCGCAGGCGUGCAGCACAGGCGCCAAGCAGGGCAGGGGCAGGGCGGAUGGCGCAGCAGCACCAAGCAGCAAGCAAGGCAAGCAGAAGCAGUAGCAGCCAUCAGGCCAUCACGCCCAAUCUCCCAUCAGCAGAAAAUGGACAGAAAGAGAAAAGGGAAGGCACUGGCAUCACAAAGAGAUUCUACAUAUGUAUCUAUCCUCAUUAGUUCAUAUAUGUGAUGUACGGCUGAAAGCUUGAAUCAGUGAAUCUUGAGGACGAAAAUUCAGAUUGCCGAAGAAAAAUUCAGGCUGACAGGACACCAUGUCAACUGCUAUUGUUUGCUGCACAAUCAACGAAAUUUUUGGCUGAUUCUACUAAAUUUCUGUUUGGUAUAGUGUUGCAUGAAUCAGGAAAAAUCUGAUUGAAGGAUCUAAUAUUUGAGGACUCCUGCUCUGCUGUUGACUACUUCACUCCAGUUAUUCAAGGUAUCAAAGUUACUCUAAAACAGUAUUAAACAUUAUGUUUUGCAUUGUUGAAAAUAAACAAAUGUUCACUGUGCAUUAUUAAAAAGUAUGUUUUGCAUUGUGUCUUUGCUUUAAUUUGAAUAAAGAAAUGUUCACCAUGUACCGAGCUGGACUGAAAUUACUUGAAUGGAUCAUCACCACCCUUGUCUGAAGUAAACAGUACCUACAACAGAUAAUGCUAAUUGCGAAUCAUUCUUGGCAAUUGACUGCAUUUGUAAUUGAUUGUUAAUUAAUUUUAGGCGCACUAUACUGCAAAUCAUGUCAGCUUUCCUGAGCAUUUGUAAUGAUCAAUGAUUAAAACAAAUUAUUAUUAUUAUUUAUCUUCGUAGCAGCAAGCUUGAGAUAUUAUUGGCAAAUCAUAUCCAAAUCUCUGUCAAUUACGCUUUCAUGCAGCAGAUCAGAGUAAAGGUUAGCAAAUCAUAUCCAAAUCUCUGUCAGAUGCUAUUUUGGCAAUAUUUCCAUGUAUUACAUGCCCAUACAUGUCAACUCACAAGACAUACAAGGCAAUAUUGUUAUGUCUUUCCAUAGAUAUCAUGAUAGCAACAAUGGUAACAUUAUCCUCCUUAGCCUAUAUAUAUGUGGGUGAAGGAGUGUGAUCCAAAAAAAAAUUACUGAUCCUCCUUAGCCGGCUGCAUACGACUGCUCAACUUCAACUCAUCAUCUUGGCAUGGCAUCCAUGGAUGAUGUGGAUUUUUCACCACAUCAAGCCACACCUAAGGAGUCAAUGAACUCCAAGGAUGAUGCGAAGGUGCAGCCUUCGUCAGGGCAAACACCAAACAAGGGGAAUUAUUACAUGGGGCACGCGAAUGCCAUCAUGAUGAUGUUUCAAUACAUACGUGAUGGUUGCCGGCGUGUUGAGAGUUCCAUGGAAGACUAGAAGUGCAAGAAGGUAGAAAAAGGACACGGUGAGAAAAGGAAGGUGGGAGAAGGGUAUGAUCCUCGCUGGUCUUCUCCCAUCGAGAUAACAAUGAAGAUCUGCAAUGACGACGUCUCCGAUGAAGCAACCGAGAAGGAAACAUGAUUUAGUAUUGUCACUACUGUGUUUUGGCUUUAGAAUAAAAUAACAUUUCUUGUGAAUUACACAAGAAAAUUCAGUAAACAAUGUCGUUCAGGCCUAUUCAGUACUGCUUGUGAAAUGCACAACCAAAUUCGAUGAAACUUUGUUGUUAUGAUGCCUAUUCAGUAUUGCUUGUGAUUGAGUUGAUUUCUGGGACCUAUACAAA